GCUGGUAUAGCUCAACGGGAAGAGCAGGCGCACGGUAAGCGCCCGACCGCAGUUCGAGGCUGCGUGCCAGCUCCA
rnacentral:tRNA from 1 species